rnacentral:lncRNA from 1 species
CUAAAUUAUAAUAAGUAACCUUUUUUAUUAUAUGAUUUAAAGUUAUUUUUGCAAACACAUGUUUUCAAACAUGCUUAUGUUGUAUAUUUCAGAUUCUUGAAAAUGAUGAGAUUUGAAACUAUGUCAUUGUCAAUGUUAUUGACCAUAAUGUCAGUAGCUGGUAAGCAUUAACUUAUAUUCGCUUUCCAAGAUUAUUAUUUUUUAUUUUGCUUUCAAACUGUGUUGAUACCAUAAUCUCUGAUAACACUCAUGAAGAAAGAAGAAACAUGUGUCUGGCGUACCAAAUUAUAAGUCUGCCACCUUUGAUAAGCUUUUUGUAAACAAAUUUGUCUGAUGUUUUUAAGGUCAAGUUCUAGUUACCGAACAAAGAUACGACGCUUAUAAUUCGGUACUCAAUAUUCGUGCUUCGUCUACAAAAGACACAUCAGGAAUGCUCGAAUUUAAAUGUUAUACAUGUUAUAAUACAGAAUCAAGAUUGAAUUUAAAGAGAACUGAGGAUUCAAAAUAUCCGAAGUGUUCUUAAAUAAAUGAAAUUUUCGCAGUUAGUUUAUAAGCAUGUCUAAUCAAUGGUAUUUAAAUUGAUCACUUAUGGAUCUGCAAGUAUAUUAUUACAAAUUAGAUUUAUAAUAAAAAAAGGCACUAUAUAAUGAUUUUCUAUAUUCUUAUUAAAAAAGUAAGUUUUCAAAGAAUUUUAAAAUAUUUGUUUGAUAUAAGUUUUACAAACCUCAUAUAUUUUUUACAGCCUAUACACCUACAGAAAAGAAAUUAGGUCUACAUGGAGUGAACAAAGUAUUACAGCUUGACAAUGGAGUUGGUAGAGACAUUAGCGGUCCUCUUGGAGACUCACUUUCUGUACUAGAUGUAAUUGAUGCAAAUAGACGAGCAGGAUCUGACAGAAGAAGUUCAGUUGUCUCCGGCAUAUAAGAAGCUCUCAUAUUCAAAGGUCUGCUGGUAUAUCAAGCAAUGUUGGUAUAAACAGAAACUGUCAUUAUGAGUGUGGAGUCAGAUAAAUUAUGUAGCCUAGGAAAAAAUGUAUACGCGAUGGAUGUGACAGUUAUUGUGUCCAAGUUUCAUCUGGGAGUAUUAUUGGUAAAUCUGGAUUGUCGGGGUCUAUAAGAAGUGGAACUGGAAAUACAGUUUCAGAAAUUAUUAGAGGUUCAUCAUCUGACAUUUCAAGACUGUCAAGCAUUGAUGGUUCAAAAUGCAGUUAUGGAUGUGGAGAAAAUAAACUAUGUGCAUCAGGACAUAAAUGUAUCCACGAAGGAUGCAACAGCUAUUGCGUUC